CAACCUGCCGAUGACUCGGGGAUAGCCUUUCGAAAGAAAGAUUAAUACCCGAUGGCAUAGUUCUUCNNCAUGGUGGAACUAUUAAAGAAUUUCGGUCAUCGAUGGGGAUGCGUUCCAUUAGGUUGUUGGCGGGGUAACGGCCCACCAAGCCUUCGAUGGAUAGGGGUUCUGAGAGGAAGGUCCCCCACAUUGGAACUGAGACACGGUCCAAACUCCUACGGGAGGCAGCAGUGAGGAAUAUUGGUCAAUGGACGAGAGUCUGAACCAGCCAAGUAGCGUGAAGGAUGACUGCCCUAUGGGUUGUAAACUUCUUUUAUACGGGAAUAAAGUGAGGCACGUGUGCCUUUUUGUAUGUACCGUAUGAAUAAGGAUCGGCUAACUCCGUGCCAGCAGCCGCGGUAAUACGGAGGAUCCGAGCGUUAUCCGGAUUUAUUGGGUUUAAAGGGAGCGCAGGCGGACGCUUAAGUCAGUUGUGAAAGUUUGCGGCUCAACCGUAAAAUUGCAGUUGAUACUGGGUGUCUUGAGUACAGUAGAGGCAGGCGGAAUUCGUGGUGUAGCGGUGAAAUGCUUAGAUAUCACGAAGAACUCCGAUUG
rnacentral:rRNA from 1 species